rnacentral:sRNA from 1 species
GAGAGAGGAGCCCUGAGCUUGUGCCUUAUGUGUGAGUUAAUGUGGCUUGAGUGUCCCUGGUGUCCCCAAGCCUGGCAAACUGCUGGGUUCAAUGAACAACUUUCCCUUAUAGUCCCUCAGCCCUGCCUGUCGGCCUGGCUGGGAACCUGGUGGCUGAGGUGCUGGGAUCAGGGGGAUCCUAGAGUCGUUGGGACCAGAGCAAGGGGGAAUAGUGGCUAGAGGCCAGGCCAGGACAUUGUGAUUUAUCCACAGGCCUUCUGACAGUGGCCCGCCCGCUGAGCGCUCCCCCUGCCGCGGCCGGGUCUGCAUCUCUGACCUCCGGAUUCCACUCAUGUGGAAGGACACAGAAUAUUUCAAGAACAAAGGUGACUUGCACCGCUGGGCUGUGUUCCUGCUGCUGCAGCUGGGGGAACACAUCCAGGACACAGAGAUGAUCCUAGUGGACAGGACCCUCACAGACAUCUCCUUUCAGAGCAAUGUGCUCUUCGCUGAGGCG